rnacentral:rRNA from 1 species
GCGAAAACUUUACAAUGCUGGCAACAGCGAUAAGGGAACCUCGAGUGCCAGGUUACAAAUCUGGCUGUCGAGGUGCCUAAAAAGCAUUUCAUAGCAAGGGCCGGGCAAGACCGGUGCCAGCCGCCGCGGUAACACCGGCGGCUCGAGUGGUAACCGUUAUUAUUGGGUCUAAAGGGUCUGUAGCCGGCCGGAUAAGUCUCUUGAGAAAUCUGGCAGCUUAACUGUCAGGCUUUCAGGAGAUACUGUCUGGCUCGAGGCCGGGAGAGGUGAGAGGUACUUCAGGGGUAGGGGUGAAAUCGUGUAAUCCUUGAAGGACCACCAGUGGCGAAGGCGUCUCACCAGAACGGACCUGACGGCAAGGGACGAAAGCUAGGGGCACGAACC